rnacentral:rRNA from 1 species
CGGCGGACGGGUGAGUAACACGUGGAUAACCUACCUAUAAGACUGGGAUAACUUCGGGAAACCGGAGCUAAUACCGGAUAAUAUAUUGGACCGCAUGGUUCAAUAGUGAAAGACGGUUUUGCUGUCACUUAUAGAUGGAUCCGCGCCGCAUUAGCUAGUUGGUAAGGUAACGGCUUACCAAGGCAACGAUGCGUAGCCGACCUGAGAGGGUGAUCGGCCACACUGGAACUGAGACACGGUCCAG